GUUUAAUGGUCCUAAUGCUACCAAAAUCCAUUGAUUAUUUUACUGUUGAGGCUUUAUUUCUUUGUGAUGGUGCUAUUGUUGUUACUUUUUAUGCCCUUGUGAUUUGUUUUGGAAGACAUUCUAAUUGCUAAUUAAACAUUUUGUUGUUAGUGGUUUUACAGACAUUGAAUGUUACAUUUCAAUGAUUAGAACUGAAUUGUUUUAGCCAAAAGCAGAUUGUUGGUGGUAAAUAGGCAGAUAAAAUUGGUGGUUAACAAGUGCUCGAUUUUGGAGUUGUUUGGUGGUCGAUUGCAACAGUUUUGACACCUAUUGCCGCCAGACUAGGGCUUCCAUUCUCACAGUUUACACUUUUCCUCUAUAUGUUAUGGGCAUCAUUAGGGUGCCACGUAGGUGGACGCCAUUGAGGGUGUGGGGUGCAGGCCUUGGUGGAAUCACAAGUGUCGGGGCGUUCUAUGCAGGUGAGGCGAUGAAUGAUGAAAGCGAAAGGCGCUAUGAGGCAUGGUCACCCCAACACAAGGGCAUGGAACUUAGAUGUGAAAGCCCUACUGUUUAGUGUUCAUACUGGUGCUGGAUUGAUCAUACUUGAGAUACAGCCUGUUAGGAAGUUGAAGAUAGCAAGAAGAUGAAGAGAUACAUGUGCCGCAUAAUGAGGUUGUGGAAGGAUGAUGAAUGUUCUGAACACGGAGUGUCGCUGGACCAGAAGACCUUUAACUCAACUACAAACAUCAAGUUCAAACAAUUAUAACCCCAGUAACGUUUGAAUCUUUUCAAGUUAUUUAACGUUAUCUAUGAGUAACUCUCUUUUUUAAUACAAAUUGUUUGUUUUUCUUACAUAUGUCAACUUUAACAUUUUAGGUUAUCAAGUCGUGUUUGAUGUUAAUAAACAAUGUUCAAUGUUUGUUUCUUACCAAUAUC